rnacentral:sRNA from 1 species
AUUUGGUUUAAUGUUCUGAAAUAUUUUCUUAGACUAUUUUGUCAAUAUAUUUUUACCCUUUGUUAAUAUUUCUUUGACAUAUAACUACAAAUAUAGAUGAGUCUCCUUCCUUCCUUUUUUUUUGUUUUUGUUUUUUGAGAAGGAGUUUCACUCUUGUUGCCCAAACUGGAGUGGAGUGCAAUGGCGCAAUCUUGGCUCACUGCAACCUCCGCCUCCUGCGUUCAAGCGAUUCUCCUGCCUCAGCCUCCCGAGUAGCUGGGAUUACAGGUGUCUGCCACCAUGCCUGGCUAAUUUUGUAUUUUUAGUAGAGACGGAGUUUCUCCAUGUUGGUCAGGCUGGUCUCGAACUCCCGACCUCAGGUGAUCGCCUGCCUCAGCCUCCCAAAGUGGUGGGAUUACAGGUGUGAGCCACUGUGCCUGCCUGAUGAGUCAUCCGUUCAAGGUAUAUUUUAGAUUAUGAAUAUGUCCAUGUGAUAUGAUUUCUUUUUUCUUUUUUUUGUUUUCCUUUUUUUUUUGAGACGGAGUUUUGCUCUUGUCGCCCAGGCUGGAGUGCAGUGGCACGAUAUCAGCUCAGUGCAGCCUCCACCUCCUGGGUUCAAGUGAUUCUCCUGCCUCCACCUCCUUAGUAGCUGGCACUACAGGUGCGCACCACUAUGCUGUGCUAAUUUUUUUGUAUUAUUAGUAGAGAUGGGGUUUUGCUAUGUUGGCCAGGCUGGUCUCGAACUUCUGACCUCAGGUGAUCCACCUGUCUCAGCCUCCUAAAGUGCUGGGAUUACAGGUAUGAGCUACCACACCCAGCCCCAUGUGACAGGAUUUCUUAAAUUUGCUUCACAAUAAACCAGUCCAGAAUAGGGAUGAUGCAAAGUGGAUUGGAGUAUAAACUAGAUUUGUCCUGUUUCAAAAUGUCUAUAAUAAAAAGAAAACAAGAGAAAAGCUAUAUAUGAUACUAAGUUAUAUUUAGGUCCUUACUUUUAUUUGUUUACAUUUAAAAAUGUCUUUUAAGAAUUUCAUCUUGGUUCCUAGAUAAAAUUAUAUCAAUUAUCCUCCAUCUCAUAUACAACAUUUAGCCUAAAUUUUAAAACAUUUUAUCCCAGAGAUUAUUCACCAUAAAAUAAAUAUGGCUUGCAUUCUUGUUUUUAGGCUCCUCUUCAAUGAAAUACCAUUAAUUUGUUAAGUUUCUACUAUAUUUUAAGUUAUCAUCCUACUCGAUGGGAAUAGAAUAAUGAAUGGGAGAUAUGGUCACUGUAUUUAAGGGAAAAAAAGUAUACGCUUUUCUGUAUUCUCUUUAGAUUGUCGGUGUCCCAUCGUUCACAGUGCCUACCUAGCAUUGUACUAAUUGUAACUAUUUCUUGAAGGAAUAAUGGAAUAUUUUAGUUAUAUUAAUGAUCCUUGUAAAAUGUAUUUUAAUGGAACUUUCUUGUUUAGUUUUAUAUACUCUGAGAAGAAAUGACACUGAAAAACCAAUAGGCUUCAAUUUAUUUCCUUAUCCUCUGUCUCUGGCACUAUUGAGAUGUCAAAGAAAAAGUCUGGUGACAUUACUUUUCAAAGGAACUUUUAGAUCAGUGUUUACUUAAUGAAUCUUUGUUUAUUUUUUAACUUUUUCCAAACUAGGUAAAAUAUAAGUAAAAGAGGAUUUAAUUAUUAUUUAUUGUUUUAGCUUUCUAAUGGAAUCCCUAUAGAAAGUUGGUUUAUGGAUAAAAAUGACAAUGAACUCCUAAAAUUGAUUCCAUUCCUGGAGAAGCUUGUAGAACUGAAUGAAGAUGUUCGACCACACAUCAGAGACAGAUUUCGCUUGCAUGAUUUGCUGCCCCCAGAUUAAGUACAAAGACUUGUCAAAUCACUGAAGGGGGAGAGAAUGCAGGACCCUUUUGGACUAAGACAAAAACAUUGCCAUUACUGUUGAAAUUUUGCAUUUUUGUACCCCGUCUUGCUUUUCUUAUCUUUGGUGCCCAAUAAUAAUCAAGGGUUACAGAAAGAGACUUUAUCUAUCUCAGAUUGAAUACAUAUAGUAGGUAGGCUAAAACAGAAGAGUCUUUAGAACUAGUGCAACUCCAGUGAAAUUUUUUAUGUACAGGACAUCUGCAGUUUAUAAAGAAUUCUGUUUCUGCCACCAGCAGUUUGACCUGUAGUCACACAGGAUUUUAUGAUAAUAACAGAGAUGAAAAUGGACUUUUAUUUUCUCUCUGUUUGGUGCUCUAAGUGGGUUUGUAGCCACUUUUCUGUUACUUUAUGAUUCUCAUUUCAACAGGAAUGGCCAGUAAAAGUUGUUUUAUUUUUCCUGUUAAGGUUUAUAACCUUUUUACAUUUUUGACCUGUAUUAGAUUAGAAUUUCAUUAUGCAUUCCUUUUAGUUGAGGCGCUUCAUAGUUUUCUGGAGAUAGUCAAUUUUUAGUUUUUUAUUAUACAUUUGAAUGGCCGUUUUCCUGCUUUGUCUGCCUGCACAUUGUAUAUUUGUUUAAAAAUAUUCUCUACUUUUAGUCCAUGUAAGUUUCAUUUAGAAAGACAUGCAUUUAUAUUUUGUUUCUGUAAUAUUCUACUGUAGGUGAAAUCUUUUCAAAAAUCAAGAGACUGGGUAGAUAAGAAUAUAUGAAUGACUAAUAUACAAAAGAUUUAAACCAUUGUGAUGGCGUAUAUUCUCAAGGGUAAUAUCUUGCAAUGGCACACAGAUUUAACGGAUAAAGGUAUACCUCAGACUUCACUGUGCUCACAAAUCUUUGAGGAGAAAGUUUGGUCACCUGUUUGGCUUGAUUUAGUUACUGCUGCCUUUGGUUUUCUCCAGGAAUGAAGUAUUCAGCACAGUGACUCAGUAUUUUUAGUUAUUUUGCAUGGGCUGGUAGUACCUCUGUUAUGCUCUCAGUUACAAUCAAUUUAAAACUGUAUAACAGUCUUGGUACCUAACAGUAGCUAUGCAUAAUCCUGUGGCACAGUACACUCCCAAGCCACCAAUGCAGUUAAUAUGCUUUCAUAGUGGUUUUUCUAUGCUAUAUGAAAAUAGUCUUCAAGCCUUGGUUCUCUAAUGCAGCUACCACAAGAGGUUGAUAUUUUUAUAGUGGCGUGUAAUCUCCUUUUCGGGAGGCUUUUUAUGGAAGGUAGAAUUUGUAAAAGUUCGUAUGCUUUGCCUCUCAACUGCAUUAACAUGCCACAGGCUCAGACUGUUUUUGUGUAAAGGAUGUCAAAGAACGGCACUUUUUCUAAAGAGAAGUUUGAUAUUUUGUAUGCUUGUUAAGAAAGUACAGUAUUGGAAAUUAAAGGUGGACAACUGAUAAUUGAGGAGUAUGUCAAUUAAUUUUUUAUGUAUAUUACCUGUUUACUUGUACAACUUACUGUACAAAUUACAUGCAGCUUCAUUUUCAAAUGAAUCCUUAAAAUAAGGAAAUCUUUUUAGGAAAACAUUUAAUUUUUGUAUUUUUGAUUUUAAAGGCAUGAGUUAUGUCAAUUUUCAGUGUAUUAAUGAAGAUUUUAACUUUUCAUCAGGUUGAGUGUUUUCUUACUAUAUUAUCUGUUGUGUAUGUAGUUAGCAUAUUGUGUCACUGAACUGUUUAAAAAUCUAGCAUGUAGAGCAAGCCUGUUUUGUGGAAAAUCCUUAUUCAUU